rnacentral:rRNA from 1 species
AACGAACGCUGGCGGCAUGCCUAACACAUGCAAGUCGAACGAGACCUUCGGGUCUAGUGGCGCACGGGUGAGUAACGCGUGGGAACCUGCCCUUAGGUUCGGAAUAACUCCCCGAAAGGGGUGCUAAUACCGGAUAAUGUCUUCGGACCAAAGAUUUAUCGCCUUUGGAUGGGCCCGCGUUGGAUUAGCUAGUUGGUAGGGUAAAAGCCUACCAAGGCGACGAUCCAUAGCUGGUCUGAGAGGAUGAUCAGCCACACUGGGACUGGGACACGGCCCAGACUCCUACGGGAGGCAGCAGUGGGGAAUAUUGGACAAUGGGCGAAAGCCUGAUCCAGCAAUGCCGCGUGAGUGAUGAAGGCCUUAGGGUUGUAAAGCUCUUUUACCCGGGAUGAUAAUGACAGUACCGGGAGAAUAAGCUCCGGCUAACUCCGUG